rnacentral:misc_RNA from 1 species
UUUCCGUAGGUGAACCUGCGGAAGGAUCAUUGUCGUGACCCUGACCAAAACAGACCGCGCACACAUCAUCCAAUCCGCCGGUGACGACAUCGUUUGUCGCUUGGCCAAGUUCUCGACCGCCUCCCCUCCUCGGAGUGGGGGCUCGAGGUAAAAGAACCCAUGGCGCCGAAGGCGUCAAGGAACACUGUACCUAACCCGGGGGCAUGGCUAGCUUGCUAGUCAUCCCCCGUGUUGCAAAGCUAUUUAAUCCACAUGACUCUCGGCAAUGGAUAUCUCGGCUCUC